rnacentral:rRNA from 1 species
AGCAGCCGCGGUAAUUCCAGCUCCAAUAGCGUAUAUUAAAGUUGUUGCAGUUAAAAAGCUCGUAGUUGAAUUUCGGGAUCAAUAUGUUUGGUCGUGCCUCGGCACGUACUAGCUUAUUGGUUUCUCCUUUCUGAAGAACCAUGAUGUCAUUCAUUUGGUGUCGUGGGGAAUCAGGACUGUUACUUUGAAAAAUUAGAGUGUUUAAAGCAGGCUCACGCUUGAAUACAUUAGCAUGGAAUAAUGAAAUAGGACGUUUGAUUCUAUUUUGUUGGUUUCUAGGAUCGACGUAAUGAUUAAUAGGGAUAGUUGGGGGCAUUAGUAUUCAAUUGUCAGAGGUGAAAUUCUUGGAUUUAUUGAAGACUAACUACUGCGAAAGCAUUUGCCAAGGAUGUUUUCAUUAAUCAAGAACGAAAGUUAGGGGAUCGAAGACGAUCAGAUACCGUCGUAGUCUUAACCAUAAACUAUGCCGACUAGGGA